UUUUAUGCCACGAUUAAAUUAUGUCAGCACCAGACAUGCAAAAUCUCUUUGGUCUUAAAAUCAGAACACUACGGAAAACGCAUAUUUUCUCAAGGGAUAAAAAAAUGGAUUGGAAAGUAUCUAGCAAGAUCAAGUUUUCCAUUCUAACAUUUCAAGCAUAUUCUUUAAGGAAAAGUGCUUCAAAUCAAAGAAGUAGGUUAACUAUGGUGCUAGAAUGCUUGCCAAUACCACGCUUCACGAGGAAGACAAUGAAGGCAUACCCCCAAAACAGCCAUGCCGCCCUGACUACCUCUGGGCUCCAUCCACGUAGUGUGCAUCUGUAUUGGCGGGUAAUGUGGAUCGAUCUGCUCCGACCGGCUGGUGCUGAGGACCCGAAUGCUGUUCGUGCUUUUCCAUAGGUUUUUCUUCAGGCUGCCUCCAGCCUGGGUCCAGGACUGAGGGCCCCGCGAGGAUGCGCUCCUGGCGCCCGUCUGCUGCCUCAGUGCCGUCGGCGCCCGCUUUGCGUGCUCUCUGCCGCUGGGCAACCCAAGGUGCGGAACGUGAGGAUGAUCCGGAGCCGCGCUCCAAAAGCAUGCCCACGGUCCACGCCAAAACAUGAGUGUGGACGUGCCCACGGGGUGGCUGGCAGAAAGGGAGCUGGCGAGACUUUCCCAGGGCUGAGAGCUGGAGCCUGCUCCCCAGCAUACCAUUCCAGCACCCUCCCCUCAGUUCAGAUUUUUGUCUGGUGCCAAGCCUCCGUGCCCGAGGGUGCCCCAGCCGCAGGGCUGCACUGCUGCAGGGAGCUAUGCACCUCUCGACGGGCGUAGGCACCCUUCAUUUGCCACUCUCAUGCUUUCACUUGGCUCAGUCAGGUGCUUUACCUCCUGCUAUUCAUUUUGCCAACACCUGAAAUGACAGGGCUACUAAGCUAACAUUGUGACAUUUGAACUAUACUCUAGGGGUAAAGAAAGAGAAGAACUGAGUACUGUUAAUAAAUCCGCAGUUGUUUAAA